GAUGAAGAACGUAGCGAAAUGCGAUAAGUAAUGCGAAUUGCAGAAUUUCCGUGAGUCAUCGAAUCUUUGAACGCACAUUGCGCCCACUGGUAUUCCGGUGGGCAUGCCUGUUCGAGCGUCAUUAUCCUCCCUCAAACCCCGGGUUUGGUGUUGGACCCAAGUUGUGUGAACAACUGGUCUUAAAGACAAUGAUGGCGUCCGUGGGACCCUCGGUGCAACGAGCUUUUAGGAGCACGCAUCGAGUUGCAAGGACCUUCCGGGCCGGUCUCCUUUACUAUUUUACAAGGUUGACCUCGGAUCAGGUAGGAAUACCCGCUGAACUUAAGCAUAUCAAUAAGCGGAGGA
rnacentral:misc_RNA from 1 species